UUUAAAUUCUUUUUUUUUUUUUUUUUUUUUUUGGGUUUUUUUUAGGGGAUAAAGACCUUUAGUAAAGGAGAAAAUCCAAAAGUGAGACUAGUUCUAAGAGUGGUGAUUUUAAAUACAGACACAAGCUGAAUUCCUUGCCCACAAAAUGAAGAAAAAUAAACCUGAGCAGGAGAAAUGCACCUGGAAAGAGCUCAGCGGGACACGGUGGUUUCUGCUCACCUGGAGCUGUCGGAGCAGGGUUGGUUCAGCAGGAGAGGGAAAUGCUGUGGAAGGAGGAUUUGUGGCCUUUGGGGACCUUCUCUGCCUUUUCUCACUCUGGAAGUUUCUACACCUGGCCCCAGCUGUGCUGGGUUUCACCCGGGGUUGUUUUGCAUGUCCAGCUCUGUGCUCCCUUCCCGCCCCACACAAGAGAGCUCUGAGUAACCUUAAAUAAAACCAAGGGACUUUGAGCACCCACCUGACUCCAAAAAGCCUCCUGGUGCAUCCACAGGAGGCUGAAAAUGGGGUAAAUCCCUUCCUAGAAGUCACAGGGACAAAAACCCCACCACCAGGAAAAGCAGGAGCUGCCUGGGAGUUGGAUGCCAGGAAGGGCCCCUCAA
rnacentral:lncRNA from 12 species